UAAGUACUCAGUUCGGAUUGAAGGCUGAAAUUCGCCUUCAUGAAGCCGGAAUUGCUAGUAAUGGCAGGUCAGCAUACUGCCGUGAAUACGUUCCCGGGCCUUGUACACACCGCCCGUCACACCAUGAGAGUUGGGAAUACCCGAAGCCUGUGAGCUAACUUUUAGAGGCAGCAGUCGAAGGUAGAAUCAAUGAUUGGGGUGAAGUCGUAACAAGGUAGC
rnacentral:rRNA from 1 species